GAUGAAGAACGUAGCGAAAUGCGAUAAGUAAUGUGAAUUGCAGAAUUCAGUGAAUCAUCGAAUCUUUGAACGCACCUUGCGCCCUUUGGCCAUUCCGAAGGGCAUGCCUGUUUGAGAAUCAUGAACACCUCAACUCUUCAUGGUUUUCCGUGAUGAGCUUGGACUUUGGGGGUCUUGCUGGCCUAUGGUCAGCUCCUCUAAAAUAAAUCAGCUUGCCAGUGUUUGGUGGGUAUCACAGGUGUGAUAACUAUCUACGCUUGUGGUUUUCCACCAGGUAACCUUCAGCAGUGGAGGUUCGCUGGAGCUCACAGAUGUGUCUCUCCUCAGUGAGGACAGCUCUUUGAAUGUUUGAUCUCAAAUCAGGUAGGACUACCCGCUGAACUUAAGCAUAUCAAUAAGCGGAGGA
rnacentral:misc_RNA from 1 species